UACAAAUUAUGUUUAAAGUACAAAAUAACCUUUUACCACAACAUGUCCAGGACCUGUUCAAAGUGAGGGACUCCAGUCAUAAUUUGUGAGGAACAUUAUUAUUUCAAAAACCCAAGAUUUGAACUACAGUAAAAACUCGCUGUGUUUGUGUUCAAGGUGU